rnacentral:ncRNA from 1 species
UUUGAUAGAGGUUGCGCGACUUAUUAGUAGGCUGCCGGAUGUGCCCGAACACAGGAGAAAGCAGACAAAAGGAAGGAGCGCCGAAGGUGUACUGUGCUCGGGAGCAGUUUUGCCUGGGUGCAGGUCGAACAGGUCUGCAACUGUCAUCAUGCAUAUGAUGGAGCGCUAUC